rnacentral:rRNA from 1 species
UGUAUAAUGGGUCAGCGACUUAUAUUCUGUAGCAAGGUUAACCGAAUAGGGGAGCCGAAGGGAAACCGAGUCUUAACUGGGCGUUAAGUUGCAGGGUAUAGACCCGAAACCCGGUGAUCUAGCCAUGGGCAGGUUGAAGGUUGGGUAACACUAACUGGAGGACCGAACCGACUAAUGUUGAAAAAUUAGCGGAUGACUUGUGGCUGGGGGUGAAAGGCCAAUCAAACCGGGAGAUAGCUGGUUCUCCCCGAAAGCUAUUUAGGUAGCGCCUCGUGAAUUCAUCUCCGGGGGUAGAGCACUGUUUCGGCAAGGGGGUCAUCCCGACUUACCAACCCGAUGCAAACUGCGAAUACCGGAGAAUGUUAUCACGGGAGACACACGGCGGGUGCUAACGUCCGUCGUGAAGAGGGAAACAACCCAGACCGCCAGCUAAGGUCCCAAAGUCAUGGUUAAGUGGGAAACGAUGUGGGAAGGCCCAGACAGCCAGGAUGUUGGCUUAGAAGCAGCCAUCAUUUAAAGAAAGCGUAAUAGCUCACUGGUCGAGUCGGCCUGCGCGGAAGAUGUAACGGGGCUAAACCAUGCACCGAAGCUGCGGCAGCGACGCUGAUGCGUUGUUGGGUAGGGGAGCGUUCUGUAAGCCUGCGAAGGUGUGCUGUGAGGCAUGCUGGAGGUAUCAGAAGUGCGAAUGCUGACAUAAGUAACGAUAAAGCGGGUGAAAAGCCCGCUCGCCGGAAGACCAAGGGUUCCUGUCCAACGUUAAUCGGGGCAGGGUGAGUCGACCCCUAAGGCGAGGCCGAAAGGCGUAGUCGAUGGGAAACAGGUUAAUAUUCCUGUACUUGGUGUUACUGCGAAGGGGGGACGGAGAAGGCUAUGUUGGCCGGGCGACGGUUGUCCCGGUUUAAGCGUGUAGGCUGGUUUUCCAGGCAAAUCCGGAAAAUCAAGGCUGAGGCGUGAUGACGAGGCACUACGGUGCUGAAGCAACAAAUGCCCUGCUUCCAGGAAAAGCCUCUAAGCAUCAGGUAACAUCAAAUCGUACCCCAAACCGACACAGGUGGUCAGGUAGAGAAUACCAAGGCGCUUGAGAGAACUCGGGUGAAGGAACUAGGCAAAAUGGUGCCGUAACUUCGGGAGAAGGCACGCUGAUAUGUAGGUGAAGUCCCUUGCGGAUGGAGCUGAAAUCAGUCGAAGAUACCAGCUGGCUGCAACUGUUUAUUAAAAACACAGCACUGUGCAAACACGAAAGUGGACGUAUACGGUGUGACGCCUGCCCGGUGC